CCUACGGGGGGCUGCAGUGAGGAAUAUUGGUCAAUGGGCGCAAGCCUGAACCAGCCAUGUCGCGUGAAGGAAGACGGCCCUACGGGUUGUAAACUUCUUUUGUAAGGGAAUAAAGUGUAGUACGUGUACUAUUUUGCAUGUACCUUACGAAUAAGGAUCGGCUAACUCCGUGCCAGCAGCCGCGGUAAUACGGAGGAUCCGAGCGUUAUCCGGAUUUAUUGGGUUUAAAGGGUGCGCAGGCGGGAGAUUAAGUCGGCGGUGAAAUUUUGCAGCUUAACUGUAAAAGUGCCUUCGAAACUGGUUUCCUUGAGUGUAGAUGAAGUAGGCGGAAUUUGUGGUGUAGCGGUGAAAUGCAUAGAUAUCACGAGGAACUCCGAUUGCGCAGGCAGCUUACUAAACUACUACUGACGCUCAGGCACGAAAGCGUGGGGAUCAAACAGGAUUAGAUACCCCAGUAGUC
rnacentral:rRNA from 1 species